rnacentral:rRNA from 14 species
GGAGGAAGGUGGGGAUGACGUCAAAUCAUCAUGCCCCUUAUGAUUUGGGCUACACACGUGCUACAAUGGACAAUACAAAGGGCAGCGAAACCGCGAGGUCAAGCAAAUCCCAUAAAGUUGUUCUCAGUUCGGAUUGUAGUCUGCAACUCGACUACAUGAAGCUGGAAUCGCUAGUAAUCGUAGAUCAGCAUGCUACGGUGAAUACGUUCCCGGGUCUUGUACACACCGCCCGUCACACCACGAAAGUCAGUAACACCUGAAGCCGGUGGACCAACCAUUUAUGGAGGUAGCCGUCAAAGGUGGGACCGAUGAUUGGGGUGAAGUCGUAACAAGGUAGCCGUAUCGGAAGGUGCGGCUGGAUCACCUCCUU